AAGCUCGUAGUUGAAUUUCGGGGUUAGUAGGUUGGUCAUGCCUCUGGGUAUGUACUGGUCUCACUGAUUCCUCCUUCCUUAUGAACCGUAAUGCCAUUAAUUUGGUGUUGCGGGGAAUUUGGACUGUUACUUUGAAAAAAUUGAGUGUUUAAAGCAAGCUAACGCUUGAAUACAUUAGCAUGGAAUAAUGAAAUAGGACGUUCGAUCUUAUUUUGUUGGUUUCUAGGAUUGACGUAAUGAUUAAUAGGGAUAGUUGGG
rnacentral:rRNA from 1 species